AACUGCUUGAUAUUCUCUGUUAUUAUCAUUAUCGCAUUUGUUAUUUAUUAGGUUCUGAUCUGUUUUUUUCUUCUGUGUCUAACUGGAAUUAAGACAAAGACACAGCAAUAGGUUUUCUUUUAUACUUUUUUCACGGUAAAUGAAAAUCCGACGAGCGUUCACUACACUCACUCACAGACCGACUGCCAGCGACUGAGUAAGGCUCCGAUACACUUCGAACAGGCCUCGUAUUGUAAAUUAAUUUAUGAGAAGUGCGUUGUUUGAGUAACAUGGACUUUAGUUUGUGUAGAUAAAUGGUUUGAUUAUGUGCUGUAUUUUAAGUUGCCAUUUUGUUUGAAGUGAUGACAGUUCCAGCAAGCUAAAAGAAAUAUAAGUUUUCUUGAUGGUCAGUAUAGACUCUUUGCAAGAAUAAAGAAAUACUAAACUUCGUGUUAUAAUAUUUGGUCAUGAUAUGAAUAUAAUAAGCCACAUUGCAGUAUUGAGAUCAAUUGAGAGACUGUGGUGUCUACGUUAUACAAAAGACUGUGAAUACAUUUGAGUAUGAAUUCUCAUGUUUUUUUUGUUUUAGUCAUAGGUAUUUAGUGAUAGUGAUAUUAUACAAAAUGUAUUUUAUCUGAUAGUAAUGUUUUUUUAUGGACAUCUGACAUUGAAAAGUGUUUCAAUUGGAGGUGAUGGUAUUUUCAUCUUUUUUUUUAUUCUUAGCGAAACAUCCAGUAUUCGUUGAGUCAUCAGCAAUAUACACGGUGCAGUAUAGAGGCAAUACAAUCUACUUUUUGUAUAGGAUUUACAUCCCUUAAAAAAGGAAAGUGGCACAUUUCUAACCUCUGCCCUAGAAUGUCGCUUCCUACGCUGUGAGAGACCACGAUGGCAGUAUCAAGUGGCACCGCAGUGAGGUUCUGCUGUGGCAAGAUAAUGUGACCUGGUUUUCUACUGGAUGUGCUUACAUCCAGCCACCAUCAGAUAUCACAGUUCAGUGGUUAGCACUACUACUUCAUAUUCAGGAGGUUCCAGGUUCAGAUCUUGGCCAGGAGACUGACUGAGUUGUGGUUUUCUUCGGUGUCUCCCGGCAAAUACUUAAAUUAGACCACAGUUACCUCCUUCCUUAUCCUUUCCAAUACAUAAUUCAUUACUGAUCCUAUUAUUUUUUGCUGUAUAGUCUGGGCUAGUGACAGCAUUAUUAAUCGGACCAUACAUAAACCGCCUUUCUCCAAUUAUGAGACUACUUGUAGCUAUGCAAAGUAUGUUUAUAUGUGUAUGGUAUGGGUACUUCAGGAUUUAUGUAAUGGCUGUGUUCCAAAAAAAAGUUUCAUUGGUGAAAUCGUAUGAAUCAAACAUAAUUUCCAGAACUCCCACACAUUUUUUAUUUCAGAGACGCCCAUCCAAGUUACAUUGGUGCAUUGAAAUGAAAUCACAUUUCUUGAACUCACCUGUAACAAGGAGUAUCUGUACAGUUAGAGCCAUUAAGAAGUCCAGUAAUGGAGGGUGCCGACGUUGAUGUAAUGCUUAUCGCACCAUAGCAAGAGAUAUUAUUAUUGGUUUCAGUGUCUCCAACAUUAGUGGUAACAUGAGUAAACAGUGAUAUGACCAUUAUGAUUGUAGUGGAUGAAAUGUCAUAACCACAUUUAAGUUAGUUUGUAUAUAUCAUUUUGUGCUUUUAAUUGUACUUAUUGUGUUACUAGUUACAAAUAAUCAGUACAGACUAGUAAACUGUAAAUCCAGUGAUAAGUUGAUAAUGAAGAUGGCAAUUUUGUUUUAUUGUAUCAUACUGUUCUGUGUAUUUUGAGGAAGCAAUGUAAAUUUACCAAACUAGAUGCGUAUGAUUUAGACUGUACAUGGUUCUAACGUGUCUAGGUGUGUACAUUUCUGUUCAGUGGUACAGUUGUGCCGUAGCACUGCGAAGAGACAGAAGAGGUGUUGAGGCAACACUCCCUGCAUUUGAGAUUUUGUCACUGGAUGGAGGCAAGCAGCAUUGUCUGUUGUGGACAGACCCUAAAGCUUGUCUGGGUAUGGUGGUGGUGGUGACAGCCUAAUGUCCUAGGGAUUUUUAUCUUGAUUGUUGGUCAGCCUGUAGAUUACUUUAACAGCUGUUAGUACAGUUUAUGUAUGGGCAAGCAUUGGGCAAUUAAAAUUAGUGUUUUUAAAUCAUCAGCUUCAAGUUUUAAGCAAAAUUAAAAGUUCCUCUGGUCAAUCUAUAUUUUUAUGGGUCUUUGAAUAUUCCUUCUUUUAAAUUUUCUUUAAAUUGAUAACAUAUUUUAUUAAAAUUUCUAGAUGACUAAAAUACAUAGUUUUUAGGUUAACAAGUGAAGGUUAUCUGAAAGUAACAGGAUCUCAGUAAGCUCAGAUUUGUGGGAUAAAUGGAGACUUCAGAUUGAUGUUAAACUGUAACUUACUUUCCCAAAACACUUAUCCCAGUGCUUUAAAUAUCAGCAUUUUGUAAACUACAGAAAUGUGAGGUUAGAAUACAUUGAUCUGAACUGUUUCUAAAAAGCUUCACCACGUUUAACACUGUCACAGUAGAUUUACUCUCAGGAAGGAAGGUAUUUAUUGAGGUCAUUUUUAUCUUUAGUGCCUUUUUGAGAUCAUUUGUUGUGUUUGACUCCCAUAAUGUUGCCCUUUGUGUCAGUUUUGGUGUUCUUUGCCCUUGUGUACUGGAAUGAAAGUCUCACAGGAUAAAACCCAGCAUCUUUCAAAUCCUAUUGUUUGUGCAUGCAUGUAUGGAGGACAGUCAAACUUUGCACUGAGGAAUAUCUACCACACAGUUUUGAAGGCCCAGUGUUCAUAGCCCAUUUUGUUCAGUGACAUUUUGUCUCCAGGCAAUAAAUUAAAUAAUUAAUGAUGUCAAGAGAUUGAUGAUUAAAGGAUUGUGGCAGUGGCUGAUUCAUUAUACUGCAUUUAUGUUGGACAGAGAUUAACUGUUUCUGCACUUUGUGCAAUGAACGUUUAAAACACAGAUAGACAGAACAAGAUAUUUAUUGUAUCAAAAACAAGUGCUGCAAUGCUGCAAACAUUGUAGCAGUACACAUGAGUAUCACAGUUGACGCAGACAUUUGAAUGACUGAGAGAGAUGCGCUAGUGUAACUGUCCACGAUGUGAAUCUUCCAGCCCAUAUUGGUAUGCGUGAAACUGUUAUAAUAGACGACAUCCGGCCAUGUCGUGUUGGGUGUCACCUCCAAGAUGGCUGGCUCUCCUGGGGAAAGAAAAAAGAUCAGCAACUUCCAAUUAUCCAUACUGUUUCAUCAGCACUGAAUCAGUUACAGAGGAUAUUAGGUGUCAAGAAGAUUAUUUGUUGUGAAGUUUAAGGAAGUUCUUAUGGCAUAUUUCAAGUUGCUUACCCGCAGUGGGACGUGGCUGUCCCCUUCUUGUGAACUCUACACCUGCCAGGACUCUUACUUUUUUCUGGGCCUCUUCGCUGAGCCUGUCGAACCCUCCAUGAGGCUCAUCAGUAAUUAUGAAGGG